GCGAGAAGUUUUAGUUUGACGCUUCGGUUGAUUUCUAAAAUGGACAGCGGCGCAAGGGAGAGUAACGCGUAGUUAUCUGCCCCAAGGUCCGGAAUAGCUGAGGGAAACUUCAGGUAAUACCGGAUAAUAUCCCCGGAUCAAAGGUGUGAUUCCGCCUUGGGAGGAGACUGCGUACUACUAGCUUGUUGGUGGGGUAAUGGCCUACCAAGGCUUUGAUGGUUAGCGGGCGUGAGAGCGUGGCCCGUCUCACUGGGACUGAAACACUGCCCAGACACCUACGGGUGGCUGCAGUCGAGAAUCUUCGGCAAUGGGCGAAAGCCUGACCGAGCGAUGCCGCGUGCGGGAUGAAGGCCUUCGGGUUGUAAACCGCUGUCAGUUGGGAGGAAGGCUUCGUGAAGAGCGAAGUUUGACCUAUCUUCAGAGGAAGUCCGGGCUAAGUUCGUGCCAGCAGCCGCGGUAACACGAACCGGACAAACGUUAUUCGGAAUUAUUGGGCUUAAAGGGUGCGUAGGCGGCUUAGUAGGUGGGGUGUGAAAUCCCUCGGCUCAACCGAGGAACUGCGCCCCAAACCACUAGGCUAGAGGGAGACAGAGGUAAGCGGAACUGAUGGUGGAGCGGUGAAAUGCGUUGAUAUCAUCAGGAACACCGGUGGCGAAAGCGGCUUACUGGGUCUCUUCUGACGCUGAGGCACGAAAGCUAGGGUAGCGAACGGGAUUAGAUACCCCGGUAGUCCUAGCUGUAAACGAUGAGCACUUGGUUGAGGGCCCCCCCAUAGGUUCUCGGCCGUAGCGAAAGUGUUAA
rnacentral:rRNA from 1 species